rnacentral:tRNA from 1 species
CGAGGUGUAGCGCAGCCCGGUUAGCGCACCUGCUUUGGGAGCAGGGGGUCCUGAGUUCGAAUCUCAGUACCUCGA